rnacentral:rRNA from 1 species
UACGGAAGGGGGCGAGCGUUGUUCGGAAUCAUUGGGCGUAAAGGGCGCGUAGGCGGCCCGCUAAGUCGAACGUGAAAUCCCCCGAGCUCAACUCGGGAACUGCGUCCGAUACUGGCGGGCUUGAAUCCGGGAGAGGGAUGCGGAAUUCCAGGUGUAGCGGUGAAAUGCGUAGAUAUCUGGAGGAACACCGGUGGCGAAGGCGGCAUCCUGGACCGGCAUUGACGCUGAGGCGCGAAAAGCUAGGGGAGCAAACGGG